rnacentral:misc_RNA from 1 species
AUAAUAAUAAUAAUAAUAAUAAUAAUCUUGGAUCCUAAGAGUUAUUAUGAAUCAUAUUUUAAAAUAAAUAUAUAAAAAGAACAGGAAGAAAGGGGAGUAUAAAGUACAUGAUGAACCAUACAAAACUGCAGAAUGCACAAGUGUGUUGGAGAAACCGUUUCAUUUCCUGCAAAGCAGGCGCAGGCAUUCCAUGCUACACUGCUAGUCCGACCAUUCUCUUGCAAAACCAUGAAAUGGACAUUUGUUGACGGAAAAACCCAAAAUGCCUGAAACCAAUUAGCCUCCGCUCACAGCUACACCGGCCUCCUACUUUCAUGUCACCGUUAGUUCCAGCCCUGAAACCACCAUCCAUUUUCACAAAUCCACACUAUUUCAAUCAGAACCUCAGUCUGCAUCACCAAGCCCAUCACUCCCAUCCCCUUUCUUUGAGAUAGGUGCAUAAUGAGAACCAUAUUUUUUGGCUUGCGAAGCAAUUUCAGCGUUCUUUCGCAAGACAGCUCCUGGAGAUGGGUAUGGCCGUUGUUGAAACAGAG